CCACUCUCAUGCUGGAGUGCCGAGAGUGAGAAACGCUCCGGCGCCAUAGGAUGUGGCUGCGGCCUAUCAGUUUGUUGGUGAGGUAAUGGCCCACCAAGACUAUUACAGGUACGGGCUCUGAGAGGAGUAGCCCGGAGAUGGGUACUGAGACACGGACCCAGGCCCUAUGGGGCGCAGCAGGCGAGAAAACUUUGCAAUGUGCGAAAGCACGACAAGGUUAAUCCGAGUGGUUUGUGCUAAACGAACCUUUUGACAGUCCUAGAAACACUGUUGAAUAAGGGGUGGGCAAGUUCUGGUGUCAGCCGCCGCGGUAAAACCAGCACCUCAAGUGGUCAGGAUGAUUAUUGGGCCUAAAGCAUCCGUAGCCGGCUCUGUAAGUUUUCGGUUAAAUCUGUACGCUCAACGUACAGGCUGCCGGGAAUACUGCAGAGCUAGGGAGUGGGAGAGGUAGACGGUACUCGGUAGGAAGGGGUAAAAUCCUUUGAUCUAUUGAUGACCACCUGUGGCGAAGGCGGUCUACCAGAACACGUCCGACGGUGAGGGAUGAAAGCUGGGGGAGCAAACCGGAUUAGAUACCC
rnacentral:rRNA from 1 species